AGAGUUUGAUCCUGGCUCAGGAUGAACUCUGGCGGCGUGCCUAAUACAUGCAAGUCGAGCGAACGGACGAGAAGCUUGCUUCUCUGAUGUUAGCGGCGGACGGGUGAGUAACACGUGGAUAACCUACCUAUAAGACUGGGAUAACUUCGGGAAACCGGAGCUAAUACCGGAUAAUAUUUUGAACCGCAUGGUUCAAAAGUGAAAGACGGUCUUGCUGUCACUUAUAGAUGGAUCCGCGCUGCAUUAGCUAGUUGGUAAGGUAACGGCUUACCAAGGCAACGAUGCAUAGCCGACCUGAGAGGGUGAUCGGCCACACUGGAACUGAGACACGGUCCAGACUCCUACGGGAGGCAGCAGUAGGGAAUCUUCCGCAAUGGGCGAAAGCCUGACGGAGCAACGCCGCGUGAGUGAUGAAGGUCUUCGGAUCGUAAAACUCUGUUAUUAGGGAAGAACAUAUGUGUAAGUAACUGUGCACAUCUUGACGGUACCUAAUCAGAAAGCCACGGCUAACUACGUGCCAGCAGCCGCGGUAAUACGUAGGUGGCAAGCGUUAUCCGGAAUUAUUGGGCGUAAAGCGCGCGUAGGCGGUUUUUUAAGUCUGAUGUGAAAGCCCACGGCUCAACCGUGGAGGGUCAUUGGAAACUGGAAAACUUGAGUGCAGAAGAGGAAAGUGGAAUUCCAUGUGUAGCGGUGAAAUGCGCAGAGAUAUGGAGGAACACCAGUGGCGAAGGCGACUUUCUGGUCUGUAACUGACGCUGAUGUGCGAAAGCGUGGGGAUCAAACAGGAUUAGAUACCCUGGUAGUCCACGCCGUAAACGAUGAGUGCUAAGUGUUAGGGGGUUUCCGCCCCUUAGUGCUGCAGCUAACGCAUUAAGCACUCCGCCUGGGGAGUACGACCGCAAGGUUGAAACUCAAAGGAAUUGACGGGGACCCGCACAAGCGGUGGAGCAUGUGGUUUAAUUCGAAGCAACGCGAAGAACCUUACCAAAUCUUGACAUCCUUUGACAACUCUAGAGAUAGAGCUUUCCCCUUCGGGGGACAAAGUGACAGGUGGUGCAUGGUUGUCGUCAGCUCGUGUCGUGAGAUGUUGGGUUAAGUCCCGCAACGAGCGCAACCCUU
rnacentral:rRNA from 1 species